AUUCCAUGCACUUUGGGCACUGAAGAUGCACAGGCUUCCCGCAUUGAACACAGGAUAAGGUAGUUGCUUCCGCCGCAUCAGAGCCACCGGCCAUCGAACCCUACAACUCUCGCCCUCUUUUUGUCUCUCCCAACAGCUUGCAGUCCAAUAAUCUCUGGUUGAUUGCGGGUUGUCGAAAGGAGGAUUUAGAAUCGAGAGGGUUGUGUAAAAGAGAGCAAGGGAAAUAAAAUUGGGCAGGAGUAGCUAGGGUUUUUAGAGAAAGACGGCGAACACGAUAACUGUAAAAAUCAAAGAUGUAGUCUAAAUGGUGACUUAUAAAUUCCCAAUUGAAAUCAAAGCGGGGCAAACUGUGGUAAUGGGCAGACAUAAGAAAGAGGGAGAGGAGCAAGGGAUUGGCGAGAUUGGGAAA
rnacentral:misc_RNA from 1 species